GUGGGGAAUAUUGGACAAUGGGCGAAAGCCUGAUCCAGCCAUGCCGCGUGUGUGAAGAAGGUCUUCGGAUUGUAAAGCACUUUAAGUUGGGAGGAAGGGCAGUAAGUUAAUACCUUGCUGUUUUGACGUUACCGACAGAAUAAGCACCGGCUAACUUCGUGCCAGCAGCCGCGGUAAUACGAAGGGUGCAAGCGUUAAUCGGAAUUACUGGGCGUAAAGCGCGCGUAGAUGGUUUUGUAAGUUGGAGGUGAAAUCCCCGGGCUCAACCUGGGAACUGCCUCCAAAACUACUGAGCUAGAGUACGGUAGAGGGUAGUGGAAUUUCCUGUGUAGCGGUGAAAUGCGUAGAUAUAGGAAGGAACACCAGUGGCGAAGGCGACUACCUGGACUGAUACUGACACUGAGGUGCGAAAGCGUGGGGAGCAAACAGGAUUAGAUACCCGAGUAGUCC
rnacentral:rRNA from 1 species